rnacentral:rRNA from 1 species
AUUGAACGCUGGCGGCAGGCCUAACACAUGCAAGUCGAGCGGAUGAAGGGAGCUUGCUCCUGGAUUCAGCGGCGGACGGGUGAGUAAUGCCUAGGAAUCUGCCUGGUAGUGGGGGAUAACGUCCGGAAACGGGCGCUAAUACCGCAUACGUCCUGAGGGAGAAAGUGGGGGAUCUUCGGACCUCACGCUAUCAGAUGAGCCUAGGUCGGAUUAGCUAGUUGGUGGGGUAAAGGCCUACCAAGGCGACGAUCCGUAACUGGUCUGAGAGGAUGAUCAGUCACACUGGAACUGAGACACGGUCCAGACUCCUACGGGAGGCAGCAGUGGGGAAUGUUGGACAAUGGGCGAAAGCCUGAUCCAACCAUGCCGCGUGUGUGAAGAAGGUCUUCGGAUUGUAAAGCACUUUAAGUUGGGAGGAAGGGCAGUAAGUUAAUACCUUGCUGUUUUGACGUUACCAACAGAAUAAGCACCGGCUAACUUCGUG